rnacentral:lncRNA from 1 species
AGAGAGAGAGACAGAGAGAGAGAGAUUUAACAUGUGAAAGUGAACCAACAAAUGUGUGAAAGUGAACCACUUUUGUACGCGUCCCUAUUGGUUCACUUUGACAAGCGCCGAUUCUGCCGAUGUUUCACUUUCACAAGUGUGAAAGUGAACCAAAUAUGAUGUGGAGCGCCAUCGUAGUAUUACGCACGCCAAACAUUAUUAUUUGUAUUCUUUAAUUUCUUCAUUCUAUUUGAUUAUUUCAACUCGGAAGUGUCUCAAAUAAUUUUCAAAAAUCAAAGUAAUAUUUUAGAUUUAACUCCCUCUCGUGUUUUAUGAUUUUGAAUCAUUUAAAGUAAAAAAUGAUGUACUUGAUCUCUUGAUCAAUUUGAAGCUACGAAUUUAUCGAAAACUACGCUGUCAACGAUCAACUUGGGCAGAGUCGACGGUCCUGAAAAGAUAGAAGGUAGCACAGCUAUUGAAGUUCUGUUUGGGGAUGAUGGAGAUGGUGGUAACUGUAAUUUUGUGUGUUGGAACAAAUGGAAAAGUUGUCCGCCCCUACAUCAUAGAGACAUUACAGAUCCAGCCAAAUAUGGAAAGCCUAGACCUAUAUAUAGCAGCAGAUGAGACAUUCAUUGUCAUUGCACCAGAAGACAAAGAGCCAGAAAAGAAAAAGAAAAGUACUUGUGCCUGACCAUUAAAGCCCAACCAGAAGUGAGUUAGAAGUGAACAGAGCAGGCCAUACGAGGAAACGCCCUUUACAUAUUUCUCCAGUUACCUGACACAAACUGCCUGGAAGAGUUCACUGGGUUUUCAUUGAAAUUGGCACUUAACACUCAUACAUGUAUCUGCUUUUUAUUUACAUCUGGGAAAGGAUCUUUACUGCUACCAUCUGUAAGAGGAAACUACUUUUUUAACCACGAUCCAUUGGAGUUGGUUGCUAGGCCAAGCCAAGAGCCAAACACAAGAUAGACACUAUAUUGGUCUGGUUGGGGUAGAAACAAAGUGAUACUAACCACUGUCAAAAUAUGCCAAUUAUAAUCAAGGAUCACAUGGCCACAAACCUACUUUAGAGGUCUUAGAGUUGAUGAGCUUGCAUACUGCAGUGUAGAUUGAUAAAGGAUGCUUGACAAGCAUGAAGAGAUGUCACCGUGCAAGGUAUAUUUGGAACAUGUGUUCUGUUUGUGCUACACCUCUACAAUUAUUUAAAGAAAUGCCUAUUGCCAGGUGAAUGAUUCUUCUUGCCAAACUGAACAAGCUCCAUCUCAACUCCUUCCAGACUUUGCUUUCCUCGUUAAAGGGAUAAUGAAGAGCAUACCCCUCAAACAUUGCUCUUUUGAUCCCAAUGAUGCUCAUUGAUUUCCUGCUCAUGGCUGUUGAGUUGACUCACUAUAUGUAGAACAAAAUUGGACUUCAAGUCCAAUUUAAAGGGCAAAACAACCGUUGUAAAAAAAUCAUUUGUAUGUAAGCAGAAAUUAAGAGAAACAGAAUGGCAAACGUUUGAAAUAAAUCAGAAUGAUGAAAAAUGUAUGAAUGUUUGAAAGAUGAGAUCACUAAAGCCAUGUGAAUCUCAAACUGAAAAUUUUGACAUAGUAGCAAUAUUGAGGUGCAAGCCUUCAGCUAAAUCCUCAUUGUUUUGAUAUAAAUAAUUGGUAUUGGUAUUGUGCAAUUCUUGGGGCUAAAGGAUGAUAUCCAGGGAAAACACAGGUGAACUUGUUCGUGAACAUGCCAGGACAAGCCAACUCGUAUAUUUAUUCAUAUUUUAUAUACACACUGUACAUGUAUUCAUUUGUUAGUGUACCUUGAGAUCAAUUUCUAAAUUUUCUGGUUAUGUUUUUUUAUUUGAGAUAAACUGUAUUUGAAUUUCCCAUUUUGUAAUAAUUAAGGUUGACUAAUGGAUGAUGGACUUCAGCUUAGCAAUACACAUGUAAAUAAAUCUAUACAAAUUUAUUUCAAUAGUAUAUACCGGUAGACCAUUUCUUACAAGAUGAUCUCUACUUAAAUACAUGUACAUGUAGCUAAUUUAGAGCACUGAUCAAAAUGUAUGUAAAAUAUAAGAGGAAGCUUGGAACAUUGGUAACUAUGUUUUUAUAUGAGACAUAUUAUUUUAUGAGGUUAAAGAUAAUCAUAGUAUACAAAGACUAAUACGACCAGGUUAAUUAACUUGUUAUAUGUACAUUCAAGUUUGUUAAGAUGAGCUUUCAUUGUGGUCUACAUGUUUUAUCAUAUACUGUACAUUGCUGCUUCUGACCAUUCACAGAUUUAAAGUUGAGUCGGAAUACUUUAUUGACCCCAACUUCCCAUGAUGUACCUUACUCAGUAAAUUUAGAUUAUAUUGCUAAAUUUCUUGGGAAAGGUAAACAUGUUCUUAUGAUUUGUACAUGUGUAUAUGCCAACUUUUCUUUAAAACAUUUCAAGAUAAGUAUACAAA